rnacentral:rRNA from 1 species
ACGUCUAAGCAGUAAGGCUGAGUAUUAGGCAAAUCCGGUACUCGUUAAGGCUGAGCUGUGAUGGGGAGAAGACAUUGUGUCUUCGAGUCGUUGAUUUCACACUGCCGAGAAAAGCCUCUAGAUAGAAAAUAGGUGCCCGUACCGCAAACCGACACAGGUAGUCAAGAUGAGAAUUCUAAGGUGAGCGAGCGAACUCUCGUUAAGGAACUCGGCAAAAUGACCCCGUAACUUCGGGAGAAGGGGUGCUCUUUAGGGUUAACGCCCAGAAGAGCCGCAGUGAAUAGGCCCAAGCGACUGUUUAUCAAAAACACAGGUCUCUGCUAA